rnacentral:rRNA from 1 species
UACGUAGGGUGCAAGCGUUGUCCGGAAUUAUUGGGCGUAAAGAGCUCGUAGGCGGCCUGUCGCGUCUGCUGUGAAAUCCCGGGGCUUAACCCCGGGCGUGCAGUGGAUACGGGCUGGCUGGAGGCAGGCAGGGGAGAACGGAAUUCCCGGUGUAGCGGUGAAAUGCGCAGAUAUCAGGAGGAACACCGGUGGCGAAGGCGGUUCUCUGGGCAUGUCCUGACGCUGAGGAGCGAAAGUGUGGGGAGCGAACAGG